rnacentral:rRNA from 1 species
CUACGGGUGGCUGCAGUGAGGAAUAUUGCACAAUGGGGGGAAGGCGGAGGAAGGAACGCCGCGUGGAGAGCUACGCAUUUCGGUGUGUAAACUCCUUUUAUAUUUCCCCCGGGGGACGGGAGGAGAUGAAUAAGCACCGGCUAACUCCGUGCCAGCAGCCGCGGUAAUACGGAGGGUGCAAGCGUUACUCGGAAUCACUGGGCGUAAAGGACGCGUAGGCGGGUUGGAAAGUCAGGUGUGAAAUCCUACAGCUUAACUGUAGAACUGCACUUGAAACUUCUAAUCUAGAGUAUGGGAGGGGGAGAUGGAAUUAGUGGUGUAGGGGUAAAAUCCGUAGAUAUCACUAGGAAUACCUAAAGCGAAGGCGAUCUCCUGGAACAUUACUGACGCUAAGGCGUGAAAGCGUGGGGAGCAAACAGGAUUAGAUACCCUUGUAGUC